ACCUCCCUCCACCGCGCGCCGCCCCUCUCCUUCCCCGCGCUGGCUACCUCCCUGCCCCUCGCGCCGAACGCCUCUCUCCACCGUGCGCCACCCUCCUCCUUCCCCCGCGCCGGCCACCUCCCUCUCCCGCGCGCCGGAGGCCGCCUCCUUUCCCCGACCCUCCGGACGCCGCCUCCUUCCCAGAUCCCGGCACCGCCCUGCAACACAACCGGCGCCACGGCUGUUGCCCCGCACCAUAUUCAUGCGCUGCUACCGCUCUACCACCGUGUACAGGCAGUUCAACGCUCCAACCACACGCCGUUCAAUCUCUCCAGCGUGGACACGCCAUUCCACCUCCUUCUAGUUGCCUCUCAUCCCGGUAUGGCCAGGGCGUUGGGUUCGCCGCCGCUGCGACCAGCAGUCCAACCCGGCCGCCCCAGGCCGUUCACCGUCGCAGCUCCCAGGCCGACUGUGUCGAGCCACCUUCCGCCCGCACCUUGGGCUCCCGUAUGCGUCCCCUGCCCAAGCUGGUGCACACGUCCCUGCCCACCGUCCCUCCUCUUUGUUCUUCACUACAUAAGGUUUUUUUGAGUGCACGCCAUGUGUUUGCUAAAAUGCCUCAGUGCACUCGCCUACUAGUUUUGAUGUGUUCAUGUUCGUUUGUAGCUAAUGUAAAAUCAGCUUUCUCUUGAGGCAGGGACAAAGAAGUGAGCCAAAAAGAUGAAUGACAGUUUGUUCACAAGGUCAUCUGCUCAACAAGAGAAGCAUGUACUGCUCAGUACAUGUAUAACUAAUGGGAAGGUUCAAAAACCAGAACUCAUCAAGUUCAACGUUGAUGGUACUGUGCACAUGCAAAAUUAGAUCAAUAGUAUUGUUGAACAAUUCCUACUCCUCAACUCCAGCGUCCUCCCUCCAUCCCGCACUGCCGCCUCGCCACCUCGCUCAACCUUGCCAACGUCCUACCAUCCCUGGUAUGUCCCUGGCCACCCUCACGCCACCAUAGCGCUCAGGCCGUUCACCGCCGGCACCAUAGUACGUUCACUGCCGAUACCCGAGGUUGUUCAACGACGCAACGACGAAGUCUGGCCUUCCCCCUUACCCUUUUCAUGUAGCAUAUUCUGCAAAAAUAUCAGACGCUCUCAACUGAAUGGAAAGUGUGUCCCACAACUGCAGGUAUAACCACUGCAGGAGUUUGAAAAUCUCAACAAAUAAAGCUCAAACCAAAGUUCAAGAACUGCUUCCUUCAUAAAUUAGUUUUCUUUUGGUUAAUUCGUUGUUCUAGACAGUACAGAUGUAAAUUAUUGUCUAGUACAUGUGCGUAUUGUAUAUAUUGGUUAAUAAGAUAUAACAAAAAGUUCAUAAAAAACCCAGAACACAUGGUAGUUCUGGAAUCUGGGAGUUCAGGAAAAAAUGAUCCAAAAAUGAGCAUUGGGAGGGUUUGAAAAAUACAUCAUCAGCAAGGAUUUAUUGUACGCUCACUAGUUCGGUUAUAACUACAAAAGUUGAUCUCUGUCUUGAUCUCUGUACUUAUUCAUCCUGUCACUCGAUCGUUCUAUGGUUGUUAUGAUGUGACUUAACAUACAAUCACUUUUGGCGUUCUUCCAUAAACAAUGAAGGGAAUGCUAAAAGGAGGGUAUGUUUUCCAAGCUGACAUCUGCAAGCCCUCAUUAGGACAAGCAAAGUGCAGAAAUAAGUUCUGACCCUGAAAACUGCAGAGUUGGACUUCCUCGUAUUCAAGUGCUCGCAACUAAGCUUCACUUCUGGUUUGUUUGAAUUAACUGGUCCAGACGUCUCAAGCUGCUAAGGCCUACAUCUCCCUGCCAAUGUCUCAUCGCCUGUGCCGACAUGGUCGUGGUAAGUUCGUUGGCGUAGUUCCUAUGCUUUGAUGAGGUCAAGCCCACUGUCGUAUUAGUCGCCACAACCUCAUAUCGUUGCCGCCAAGGUUUCCCCUCGCUCUCUCCCCUGAAUUCUCUUGAAGAACAUCCAUUUAUCUCGCUGAAUUCUUGAUAGCAUGUUCUAAAUAAGCUUGUAUUCACUCCCUAAGUACUCCUAAAAAGCACUUUUAUUCUAAUUAUACGAAUUUUAUACUUAUGGGAUGUUCAAAUAAACCAGUACACACGUGUGGUGCCGUCUAUAUAAUUAUGUAAAGAAGAUCUAUAUGUGUAAGUUAUCUGAUAAAAGAAAGAGGAAAAUCAACUUGCAAAUUUAGGGAAACAUGUGUACCUUGAGAAAAGUUCACAGAAUAAAUGCUAGGAGGGUCAUUUUGUGUUUGUUUAAAUGUCUUCAGUGCAAGUGUGGAGGGCCGGUAAGUUCUACUACCAGUCUAAGCCAAGUUCAGGAGCAUUGCCACUGAUGCAAGGACAACGAACCAACGACAUCGGAUCAUAGGUCGAAGGAGUCUGGGUCAAGGCGCCAUGACUGGUUAUUGUUGUAUGCUGGUGUCGUGCUUGUUGAUGCGGACUAGCAGAUCAAUGUAUAUGCAUGUUGUUUGCUUUUGACAUGGUAUAUAUAAACUAUUGGUACAAAUUCUAGUACCUAUAUCACAAAAGUUCAUUGCGAAAAAAAAUAUCAGUUCAAUGGAUACAUUGUAUCUGUUUAUCACAUAUACUUGCGAAAGAGUUCAAAAUGUUCUUCCCUUUCUGGAAAUUACAUGUGAUUAUUCAUUUCUUUUUGGGCCAUACAAACAACAAUAACUCAUUAGGCUUGUAUGGCUGAAUUUCUAUUCAUUUGCUCGUAUGACUGGAAUGCAUCUUUGCUUGUAUUAUCUCUUGUAACACUAAGAUUUUUUUAUGUUGUCAUGUCUUUAGGAGCGCCCCGGCCGAUCACAGCCACCACCACAGGCCGUUCAACGCCACCUCCGAGGAAAACCAUAUCCAAAAAACAGAGUAAAGUCCAAUAUGUGAAAAUAGCUCAGUACAAACACACAAAUGGAUCAGUACGAGUACUCUGUUUUUCGUCGAAAUACUAUUGUUUGAACUGAAUCAUCUGAAUUGAAGCACAGUGGCAUCAAAACCAAAUAAUUUCCAUAUCAAGGUUCAGUGUGGAUUUUACACUUAUGAAAUGAUUUUCACCCUAACAAACUAGCUUCAAACAACCUUUUAGCAUAAUGUCGUGCCUGUUGAACACCUACUGAUUUGAUUCAGCAACUUCUACUGAUGUCUAUAAUCGUACAACAGUUUGGAUUCCUAACUGAAACAGAUUAGCAGCAAAAGUUUCAGCAAACAAUCUGUUUUUUAGAUUGCUAAAAAGAAACCCAAAACAUCCGGACAAGUUGACUACUACAAAUAAGAGUUUCUUGCCAAAGGGAAGAGUUAGGAAGUGGAGGGGCUCUCACGAGGUGUCCCGGCGGCGACGACGAUGACGUGGAGGCUCUGGCUAUUGUUGGGCAGCAUUAACAUUUUGAUAGUCCUUCUGCAGGGCCCAAACCCACUAUCGUGCAGAAAAAGAAAGCAAAGCCCCAACCAUCAGCUGCUCAAUCAUCAGGGUCUGAUGGCCGAUGGAGAAGCGAAGCGAAAGACGGUUAGGAAGCGCAAGAGAAGUGGCAAAGACAUCAGGUCCAUGUGUAUUUAACAGCAAGUCCAUGUAUUACUACAUGAGAAGUACUGCUAGUGAGACUUCACUGCCCCAUUUCAACAAACUUGUAUACGCAAUCCUGGUUUGACAAAGUACUCUACUGCUGCUGGUUUCAGUUCCCUCACUGGAUUUGCAGGCUCACGACCAUCCUCUAACACCCCGUCAGUGCCACCUAUUUGAAGGAGCUCCGUGAGCGUGUACUUCUCCUGAUGCAGAGGCCGGGGUUUUUCCUCCUUAUCUAAAAAAAAUGUGCUGCUCCACUCGUAGCUCCCAGCCUACCCUCGAGCAAGUUCGUGCCGUGCACGAGAUCAGUUCAACCUGUGCACUUGUUCGACCUCGACGCUUGUGGCAGUCCCACAAGGACGAGUGUGGUCUACGAUCGACCAGUUGGUUCCCAAGCGAGUUCCUGGCUGAAGGUGGGCUUCCAUGUUGAGGUGUGGAACGCAAUGUACAUGGAGAUCUUGAUGGAGUACGAUGAUGGCGAUGUGGCGCAGGUGGACCUCAUGGAGUUCGGCUGGGCUGGCGGCGGUGGACGCGGAUGCAUGAGUUGUGGGGCUCCAUCUGUCGCUCGACCACCGCUUACUCCCACUCUGUUCACUGGUUUUGUUUUCACUGUCACGCCUGUUCCUCGUCAACCUGCAGCAGCAGGAGACAUGAGAUCACCUCCGGCACCGCUGGUCACAUGAAGGCCGUCAAAAAUGAAGAUGGUGAACUAUGGGAGUACAUCAAGGUCGAAAAAGCCCUUCAUCUGCAUCCAUCUGCGGGAGGAACACUGCUUUGACAUCAGGAACAUUUUCCUCCACUAGAGCCACUGCGGCCUACGGCAGCCCAUGGUGGCGGAGUUCGUCGCGUCCAUCAGUCCAACCCCAUGGCUUCAGGGCAUCCGAUUUUUGUCGCGGCCAUCAGUUCGGACACCUGCGUCACUGCGUGUGUUGCAGCCACACCCAUUUGUGUCACUGCGUGCUCCGUCACCGGCCUCCUGCGCGCCGUGACCCCUGCCACACUCCUUCCUCUCCCUGAAGCUGUUCGUGCCCUCCCAGGCUUGAUAUCCUGCUGUAGCGAUGAGCUCCUGUACAUCGCCGAAGUUCCAUACCUGCUCAACGGCACCAGCACGAGGAUGCAGCAGCUAGGCUGAACCCCAGUUUGUGCCUCAAGGUCAAGUACGCGUACGCCUGCGAGAAGUGCAGGUUCUCCGGUGCGCCAAGUAUUGUUGGCAGCGAUGCCUGCUUACGUCUUCCUCGUAUGAUUCACCAAGGCCGCGUCCUCCUCUUGAGAUAAGAAGAGCGACAAGGAGAUGGAGAGCACGGUCUUUUUUCCGUGGAGCUGGCUGCUGCAGUACGGCCUAGUCCAGUCUAAGCCCUCCAUGGUUGCUGUUGCUAUUUCCGCAACCAGGCUACCCCGAAGAAGACCCCUAUGUGGACUGACAAUCUAAAUUAUAGUGUGUGUUCUUUAUUUAUAAUUGAAGUUCAAAAAUAUCAUUGGCAGGGGUACAGAAAUGAUUAUAGUCGUUAUAGCAAAAAAAAAGCGCAGAAACUUGAAGAACAAAAUUAUUGGUACACAUAAACAAAUUGGAUUUAUGUGUUAUGUAGUAUUGGUACUUAAGAACAAAAGUUCAGAUUUCAAACUUUCAAUAGUUUAAUGCUACGUAGAAAGGAACAUAAGUCCACCCUACAAAAAAACCCAGUAAAUGCAUUUCGGUUAUGAUCUAAAUUUCUUUUGGUCCAUCUCUUUUAGUCUCUAACAGAGAACUUCCGCUGAUAUUGUAAUAAUCGAUAGUUUUUUCAUCUUUAGCUCAUUAAGUGUUAAGAUUUCAAUGAAGUAAAAUGCUUCUAAGCUUUGGCCAUUUUGGUUAUUUUCAGGAUUUUCUAGAUCGGGGAAGGUGCGGAGCUUGCCUGAUUGCUUGCUACUUUGCAUGUUCUGUUUACCCACUAUGCAUGUGUUGAUGUUGCUGCUUCUAGGAGCCCUAAAUUUUGUACCACGCCGACAAGCCAGGCAGUCGGUCUUUGCAUCACGAACUGGUGCAGUUUGAUCUUGCGCAAGCGGGAAAUUCCCUGAUGCCGAGUGUAUCAGUACGACCCUACGCUCCAAGCACGCCUCCUCCUGGUCGCCCAUCAGUUCUCUUGUUCUUGCUGCUUCUCCUAACAUCACCAUAAAAGUUUUGCUAGGAAAAAAAUGCGUGGAUAAAGAGGAUUGCAGUGACAGUAAUUUUGGUUGCCAUUUCUCUCUAUAGCAGAUCGCAUCCGUACAAAAAAUGCUACUGCAGUUUACUCUAUGUAAAAAAUUAAUAAGGUUCAAUUCACAAAAACAUGUGGAAGUUCGUUUGGAAAAUUCUGCAGCCUAUUUGAUUACGCCAAGAUGUACAGGAUGACAAUUCUUUAUUGUGUGCCUUCAGCACAAUUUAAAUUAACUAGUUGAGCAUA